AUGAAGGAAACCCUAGCCCCCAUCUAUUUCCCCUUCCUUUCACGUGUAGUCCCAUUCUUAAGAAGCUUCUUCUUCCUCCAUAGUAGUCUCAUUCUUCUUCUUCUUCCUUCAUAGCAGCCUCAUUCUUCUUUAUCAUCGGCGGCGACUCCACGACAGUAUUUCCCAGCGGACGGCGAUGCGAACGAACCCCAUGGCGGCGUAACCCUCAAGCUGUAGCGUUUUCGGCGGUGGUGCGACAGCAACAAACGCCCAGAUCUGGCAUUCUUUGACGGCCCAACAGUGCGUGCAGCUCCUUUUGGGAGUCGUUUCGUGUGCAGUACUGUGGAUUGGAAGGAAGUUAUUUCUGUUCUAGGAAUGAGCAUCUAAACCCUGCAAAAAGGGGAAAAAAAAUUCAAAGAUUCGAAGUUCAAAACGAUGGAAGAGAGAGAAGCCAUAAGUGCGUGCGGCUUCUUUAACGGCGGCAAGGAGCAUUCGGUGGUAGGGUUGUUGUUUAUUCGGCGAAUCGAUGGUGAUCAGUUUCUGAAGAUGAUGAUGAGGUUAUUGAAUAAAAAAUUAAAGUUUUCUUAUAUGAAAAUGUAUGGAUUUUCAAUUUGAGUCUUUGAGAUAAGUGACUAUUUUGUCUUUCUAAUCAACAUUGUCGGCCCUUUUAUUGAAUGCACUUGUCGGCUCUUACAUGUUCGGUUUGAUUUGCAAUACUUUAGGCUUUUGAAUUGAAGAAAAUGUAGACAGACAUACCUAUAUUUGCAAUGCCUUAAGCUUGAUCAUAAGCUUUUCCAACUAUGUGGCCAUGAUGAAAAAUAUCAUUAAUACAUUUUUUGGUA